rnacentral:rRNA from 1 species
GACGAACGCUGGCGGCGUGCCUAAUACAUGCAAGUAGAACGCUGAAGCGAGGAGCUUACUCUUCUUGGAUGAGUUGCGAACGGGUGAGUAACGCGUAGGUAACCUGCCUUGUAGCGGGGGAUAACUAUUGGAAACGAUAGCUAAUACCGCAUAACAAUGGAUGACACAUGUCAUUUAUUUGAAAGGGGCAAUUGCUCCACUACAAGAGGGACCUGCGUUGUAUUAGCUAUUAGGUGAGGUAAUGGCCCACCUAGGCGACGAUACAUAGCCGACCUGAGAGGGUGGACGACCCAACUGGGACUGAGACCAGGCCCCGGAUGCCAAGGGAGGCAGCAGGAGGGGAUCUUCGGCCAUGGGGGGAAACCUGAACGCACAACGCCGCGUGAGUGAAGAAGGUUUUCGGAUCGUAAAGCUCUGUUGUAAGUCAAGAAAGGGUGUGAGAGUGGAAAGUUCACACUGUGACGGUAGCUUACCAGAAAGGGACGGCUAACUACGUG